AUAAUGUGUGUGUGUAUAUAUAUAUAUAUACUCAACCCAAUCUUAACCAUAAGUAACAAGACUUUUGCCAUGUUAAGUUUUUUUAUAACAGUCACAGAUUUUUACACAAUUAAGUUUCCCCACGUGUGGACUGAAAAAUGAUCCCCACAAGGUCAAAAUAACAGGUUUCUGUCAUUUGGUCCCGACAAUGUAAUACAUACAUGGCCACACACACACAUACACACACACACACGCGCGUAAAAGCAGCUUUAGUAGUUCGGCUAGGAGCCUUGAUAUAUUUAUAGGCUACUACACAAUGACUCCUUUGGGUAUGACUUCAAUUGAGAGCCGCUUGGAUCAAUGAUUCAUUGAUGCACACAUAUCCGUAUGUUCUGCUGACUGCACAGCCUACCUGAAAGGCGCCUCUGUAUGAUACGGAUCUCUGAAACUGAGAGAUUCUGAUCAGCCCUUAAACAGGUAAUAGUCAGAUGCUGAGAAUCCAUUACAGGGUUUUUCACGCGCACUCAUUGUUUGCUUGACGUUUAUCCCGCGGCUUUGAUCGAAAAAGUCCUGUUUGUCAGAUGGAAUCCGAUGUUUCUCCAAACAGCAAUUGCACUCUCCCUACUCCUGAGUGAGUCAUUUUUCUCUGUGCAAGAGAAGGUGUCAGGGUUACAAAUGACAUUCUGUGCAUUUAAUAUAGUCUGAAACUUUGCAGUCUCAGGUAAAUCAACCCCCCCCCUCACAAUUCCCAGAACUCCUGUUUACUAAUGGAUGAAGAAUCUGCCUGGUAAAGGGUGCCAUUAAGUGCAGCUAAAACCAGCCCGUAACAAACACUUGCUGAAAUAUUAAUGCUUUUUUCUCUCUCUUUCCUCGCAAGUUCCGGUUUUAGUUCAUUUUUACAGCAUAACUGCAGCAGGACUCCCAUGACAACUGGGCCCUGUUGUAAUCAUAUUAAACCACUUGAUUUGCGUUAUGCGUUACAUCAAGACCCGUUAAUUACACUCUUUGUUAUAUUAAUUCGAUUAAUCAUACCGAAAGCAUAUUAAACAAACAUAAUAAUAUCAGAUAAAAUACUCAUUUUGCGCACAUUUUUAGAACGUAUGAUGUGCAAUGACGACGUAAACAGCCCAUUAUUAUAUGCACUAUAUAUUUUACCGUCGUUCUGAGGAGUCUUUAUAAUCCCAGUGUAGCUGGGAAGAGAUCCCACCGUACAGACUCUGCUCUCUUAUUCAUUAGCCUGCAUCAUCCAGGGUUCUUUAUAAUAGAUGAGAUAUUGUUGGCAUAUCACACAGCCUCCUAUGAAAGCUACCUUUGUUGUCAUUCCCGAAGCACAUACUGUACUCCUUUACAAAGCCAAUGUCAACCGUUCAAAAGGCCCGCUUUUCAACAGAUAGCUACAUCCCUACCCCACCUUGCCCUCUAGAACAGAUAUCGCUCCAAUCCCCAGUGCUGGGCUUUUUUUUUGCCCCCAUACUUUCACUUCUCCUCUCACUUCACCCUUAAAUGCAGCAGAAAGAAGGUGGAUUUGCGCUGGUAGCUUUAUUUGAGGCGGCCUCGGUGCUGGAAGCUGGUUCACCGUGGAUGUCUGACUCGCCACGUAAUGGCUCCGUGUGGCAUUUUCGCGCACGCAAGAUAGGGUAGCCCUGACGAAGAGCCCUGAGAUUUGCCGUCAGGACAGAUUAACUUUAUCUUCAGAUGAAGAGAGGACAUUGCUGAGGAAAGAAGCCGUCAUCGCCCACUUGAGACCAGAAACUACCUGCCUAUUCUGGUCACCCAGUGGAGGAGGACCCAAGAGUCCCUACAUUACUGACAGUGGCAUAUAGAUGAUGAGGAGGGGAGUGGAAGGCAAGCCCCACCAACGACCUAUCAGCAGCUCAAUCUCCUUGACGUCUAGGUGACCAUCAUCCAGACCUUAGCUCCAAGACACACCGUAUGCUGGCUGAGCUAAAUUACCCGAAACGGAGCGGAAAUGGUGCAAGUGCAUGACUAAGACCCAGCUGACAGCAUAGCAAGUCCUCCUCAAGGCGACAGUCUUCCAAAACAAACCCAGAACUGUUGCUAACCAGCCCCCCCCCAAAAAGCCUCGAAUUUCUCCUCUCCCCUCAUGCCCCACCUUGUCUCUCACUACCAGAGACUUUGCCAAUAUGGUGGCUUUUAUCAGCAACAUAUUUGGCCUAACUUACUUUCGCUUCAUGUCCCCCUUUCUCAUUACGUUCCUUUCCAAGUGCAUUCGCAUGAAACUUCUCGAGAACAUUGUCCGUGGAUCUGAAUGUAGAGAACAAUCAGUUCCCUGUGCCCUAUUCCUUUCUGAAACAUAACAGCAAACUAUUUCCAGAAAGACAACAACCCACAACUGCACAUCAUCUUCUUCAGAGGUGUGUUUCAUGGACGUUUGAGCCCCUUCUCAUGUUCAUUUGUGUAUGGAAGCUCAAUCGCAUUCCGGAUGAUUCUGCCUGUCCGGAUCACUUCCUUUGCCCCUAAGUGGAUCUAUUGCCCGACGUCUGCAAAAUGUCACUCAGAGUGUUCAAGUGAAACGUUGUUUGUGUGGACUGGAACAGGCCUAUGUAUUUAUAAACUUUUACAGCACGGAUGCUCUGCCGUAUUGGGGAUCUGAUUAUGCUUUUUUUAUAACCACAUUUCCAGUGCAAGGUUGUGGUGAACCUGGAGUCUAUCAGAGGAAGCCCAGUUCACAAGGCAGACGGACACUUAUGACAGGAAACCAGUUCACCACAGGGCACACACACGCUGACACACCCAUGGAGACACUACAAACUUGGACAAAUUUAGAGACACCAGCCUACUAACAUAUUCACAUAGUCAUUUGUGCAAUCAGUACUGGACACAAGAUAAUAGUUACUUGUGGAGAAAAUGAAACUAAAAAAGGACUUUUAUAAUAUUCCUCCAGGCAUUCCUACCCUUUCUGCAAACAUAAUCUUUAGCACAAACAGUAUAUAAUGUCACUAGUUAAGGUAUAAUUUAUUGUACAUCACUUAAAUCAAGAAAAAGUGAAAUUGCAGUUUGCUGUAAUUGAAAUGUUAUGAAUUCCAACAUGAUCACAUGCCUGGCAACCUCACUGAGACUAGCAGCCAUCGUCUACAGCCAGGUCACAGUGCUCUGGGGCCUUCGGUAAGCCUGACAAUCUUCAUGCCGGCUCUGAAACAUUGUAGAUUCUUCUGCGACCCUCUAUGCUUUGCUGUGUCAUUGGUGAUAUUUGUUUGCUAUGCUUUGUUAUUACUUCAUCUAUUAACAGAAAUUAGUUUUCAUUUAAGGCAGCGUUUCUUAACCUGGUCCUCGGGGACCCCCAGACGUGGACUGUGGCAUAGAGCUGGGAGCAAAGACGUGGACUGUGGCAUAGAGCUGGGAGCAAAGACGUGGACGGUCUGGGGGUAUUUGAGGACUGGUUUGAGAAACAUUGACUUAACGUGACUGACAUUCUGUAUAGGCAGGGGAAACAAAUCAAACAUUUUAGUACCACAUUUGCCAUACUGUCCCAUCUAAUGAGAUCUGGCAAAAGACACUUCACUGGACAAGCCAAAGACAAUUUACAUAAACAAAUGGACAACUGCCACUAACGAAAAAAGCAGUGUCAUUAUCAUUGCUGUUUUGACGGCAACCUGCAGAUGUAUUAACAAACCAUGCAAUGGCAAUGACUAUCAAACAGAAUCAUUCUUAUCAAUACUUUGAUAUCAAAGUCUAAGUAUUAAACAAAAUGAAUAAUGUAAUCAUUA